UACAGAGGUCUCGAGCGUUGUUCGGAUUCAUUGGGCGUAAAGGGUGUGUAGGUGGCGCGCUAAGUCGGGUGUGAAAUUUCGGAGCUUAACUCCGAAACUGCAUUCGAUACUGGCGUGCUUGAGGACUGGAGAGGAGACUGGAAUUCAUGGUGUAGCAGUGAAAUGCGUAGAGAUCAUGAGGAAGACCAGUGGCGAAGGCGGGUCUCUGGACAGUUCCCGACACUGAGACACGAAGGCCAGGGGAGCAAACGGG
rnacentral:rRNA from 1 species